rnacentral:rRNA from 1 species
CCAGCCCUUGACAUCCCGAUCGCGGUUUCCAGAGAUGGAUUCCUUCAGUUAGGCUGGAUCGGAGACAGGUGCUGCAUGGCUGUCGUCAGCUCCGUGUCGUGAGAUGUUGGGUUAAGUCCCGCAACGAGCGCAACCCUCGCCCUUAGUUGCCAUCAUUCAGUUGGGCACUCUAAGGGGACUGCCGGUGAUAAGCCGAGAGGAAGGUGGGGAUGACGUCAAGUCCUCAUGGCCCUUACGGGCUGGGCUACACACGUGCUACAAUGGUGGUGACAGUGGGCAGCGAGACCGCGAGGUCGAGCUAAUCUCCAAAAGCCAUCUCAGUUCGGAUUGUACUCUGCAACUCGAGUACAUGAAGUUGGAAUCGCUAGUAAUCGCGGAUCAGCAUGCCGCGGUGAACACGUUCCCGGGCCUUGUACACACCGCCCGUCACACCAUGGGAGUUGGUUUUACCCGAAGGCGCUGUGCUAACCGCAAGGAGGCAGGCGACCACGGUAGGGUCAGCGACUGGGGUGAAGUCGUAACAAGGUAGCCGUAGGGGAACCUGCGGCUGGAUCACCUCCUU